GGCCCAAAUUUGAAGUAGAGUAGAUUGGUAGGAUUAGCUGUCCAUUCUAAUCUAGUCUAUUUCAAAUUUGCGCCC
rnacentral:pre_miRNA from 1 species